GCCGAUGACGAGGGAUCAACCGGCUGAAGGGUGAUGACCAGUCCAGGAGGCCGAGGC
rnacentral:misc_RNA from 1 species